UACAGAGGGUGCGAGCGUUAAUCGGAAUUACUGGGCGUAAAGCGUGCGUAGACGGCUAUCUAAGUCGGGUGUGAAAGCCCCGGGGCUCAACCUGGGAAUUGCAUUCGAGACUGAAUAGCUAGGGUACGGUAGAGGGAAGUGGAAUUUCCGGUGUAGCGGUGAAAUUCGUAGAUAUUCGCAAGAACACCAGUGGCGAAGGCGGCUCACUGGCCCGGAACUGACGCUGAGGUGCGAAAGCGUGGGGA
rnacentral:rRNA from 1 species